AAAAAAUAUGAAUUGAGGAAUUCUUGGUUUCCUGUCCCCCAUCCUUACCUCAGCCUUUAAGAUUCUGAUAAACUUUGCACUAUUUUCACAACACUUUUAAUAGUCUACAGCAGGAUGUAUAAUGGCUUCCAUUGUCAUGGAGACUGAACUGAAACUAUCAAGUAUUCUCAAGACCCAGAUGUUCUGCCAGUUCACAGCCCACAUCUUUGCUCUUCCUCUCCUACCCACGCAUGUGACCAGCACCGCUGCCACCAUACUGCCCCACUGCCUGAAAUGCUCAUGUAUGCCAUCAUCUCCUCGUAGUGCAGCAGGUGGACAUCCUGCUCUGGGGGCUGACAUGGGCUAAGAGGCAUUUUCUUCCUUACAGAGAAGCACAACCCCAUCAACUAUGAUUUUAAAAUAUCUGGUGAUGAAAAUUCAUCUCAGUACUCAGACAAAAGAGAGCCUGUCCAAGGCUGUGGCUGACUGGACAAACUUCACAGAUUGGACAAAACAUCAGAGCUGGAGUUUUCUCACCUUUCAGGUCUAAACUCACCCCCCACCCCAACCAGGACUUUUCCACUCUGCUCCUCUAUCAUUCUUUCUUUGCAUUCAGAAAAAGCCUGCAAAAACAAGCCUUGCCAUGUUAUGCAAGGACCAACAAAUCUCAGUUUUGGCAGGUCGGAGGGGAAGUAAAUAUCAAAGUGAAUAUUUAAGCUGUAUCAGUGAGUAUGCCUCUCUGAAUAGGCCUGCCUCCAACCCCAUAGUAUUUUUAAACAGUGUCUUAUUUGAGCUCUUCAAUACAGAGAGCAGCUGUCCCUGAGUUAACCAGGAACAAUGCCACCUAAUGCACCUGUUAAAAUGAGUAUUUCCUACUGAAGCCUAGAACUGAGUCCACUGCU